GCUCACCGGCUUUAACUUGUGCUACUGAUGGUAUCUCAGGAUGCCAUCUGUUAUGCAGUGGCUGAUCCUGCUCCCAUGGCUUCUUCUUCAAAUCAACCUUCACCACAACUCUUGGAGUCAACGGAGCCAUCAAAGCCUGUGAAAACAGAGACCAUUGGUUGUUGGGGAUACGUUUAUCUUAUCUUACCACAACUAAAACGCCAGUAAUAUUUGCAUGUUUCACCAUCUCGUGAAGAAUUUUCUUUUAUCUAAAGCAGUGACGCCUUUGUUUUUCUCUCUGAACCAAGUGGAUAGUACAGUAAGAUACACAUGUGUGACGUGUUAAUGUCUCUGUGGAGGAAAGAAAGGUGAAAUCGACAUUCUAUUCGCUUAUGUAUUAUGUCUAUUCACUUUUUUUUUUUUUGAGAAAAUCUAUUCACUUAUGUUUAUUUUGGUUGUUGAAGUUUCUCUAAUUCUAAGAGCAUCUUCGUACUUUUAAGUAUUUUAUCCAUAUAUACAUAUAUAAAUAUUUUAUCUUA